rnacentral:lncRNA from 1 species
GGAGGCUCCAGUCUGGACCAGUGAGCUCCAGUGUGAAGACCAUGAGUCUGCUGUCCUGGACUGUAGAAGGUCCAGCUCAGCUGGGAAGACCUGCUCACCUAGAACAGCUGCUGGACUCACCUGUUCAGAUCCAGGUGGUGUCAGGUUGGUGGGACAGCCGAGCCGCUGUGCUGGUACUUUGGAGAUGCAACACCAGGGACAGUGGAGACCAGUAGGAGACCCCGGUAAAGAGUGGGACCUGAAGUCUGGAUCUGCUGUGUGUCAGUAUCUGGACUGUGGAUCAGCUGUUUCAGGCGACAGAACAGAUGAUUCUACAGACAGACCUGUGUGGUCAGUCUCAGUUCCUUGUGUAAAGCUGACAUCUGGACCGAGGGACUGUGUUGGACUAGAUGAUUCCUAUAAUCUCUCAUCUGCUGUGGACGUGGUGUGUUCAGAUCUGCUGCCUCAGCCCAACAUCUCCCUGUCUGACGGGGUCUUUGAGGUCUACCAGCAGGGGUUCCGGGUGCUGGUGGGCUCCGACUUCACCAUCACAUGCUCUGUCCAACCACAGUACCCAGGAGGCUCCUUCCAGCUGAUCUCUGACACCGAGAAGCCCCUGAACCUCACCCUGCCGGCUGUCAAUCACUCCACCCGCUUCCUGUUGUCUGCCAUGGGCUACGCCCACCGAGGGAACUACACAUGUGUUUAUCACGUGGACGUUUAUAACCGCAGCUUCUCGUCGUCUCAGAGCCCCGCCCUCUAUCUCACUGUCGGAGACUUGGUGACAAAUCUGAUCAUCAGGGUGGUGCUGGUCCUCUUCCUCCUGAUCACAGGGACCAUUUCCCUCUUCUUCUACUGUCGGGCCAGUAGGGGGCGCUGCAGACUGAAGGCACGCAACACAGGAUGAGAUACACGUCCACGACCAGGUCUACGAUCAUGUCCACAUCUACGUCCACGUCCACAUCCAUGUCCAUCCUGCAGAAUAGUUGUGUGUUGUUUGUGUUGCAGAAUAGUUGUGUGUGUGUAGUUUGUGUCCCAGUCCCAGUUCUGGUCCUGGAGUCCUGGUCUGGUCUGAAUGUUCAGUGUGUUUGUGUUUCAUUGGUUCCUGGUUCUUCUUGGACUUGGACCCAGACCUGUUCAGUCCUGACUCAAAGGACAGCAGAGGAGCUGUUCAGCUCUUUGGUUCCAGCUCACACAUGAACUCUGCUCUGAAAGCAGAUGCAAACAUUUACAUUUACAUUUACGCAUUUGGCAGAUGCUGUUUUCCAAAGCGACUUACAGGGGAAAACUAAAAUAAAAGAAUAAGAUACAAGAAUAGAUUAAAGACAUAAAGCAGCCGUACAAUUAAAAACAGCAUCGUACAGAAGAAUAAAAAAACAAAAUGAUACACUAAAAUACAAGAAUAAAUUAAAAAAAUAUAAUAAUAAUUAAAACAAUGAAAUAAAAAUACCAAGUAAAACAACAGAAUAAACAGAAUGAUACAUUUAAAAUGGAAUGUUUGAAAGUGCUAGGACAGGAGGUGCUCUCUGAAGAGCUGGGUCUUCAGGAGCUUUUUGAAGACAGGCAGGGACGCCUCUGUUCUGGCAGAGCCUGGAUUGUCUAACAUUUGGAAAUCCUUCAUAUGGAUGAAUUCAGCACUCCUAUGGGGCUGUUCCUUUAGUCUGACACCAGAGUUCUACUAGAGUUUGUAGUUUUUAUUUAGUCUUUCACUGUGCUUUUCUGUCUCUAUCUCAUUCUAGGUGUUUGUGAGUUUGUCCUGUGUUUCCGUGUCGCUAUCAUGUACACACAGUCUACUGUUGAACUCUGAUCAGGGCCUACAGCUGAACCUCUACAGCAGGGGUGUCAAACAUGUGGCCCGGGGGCCAAAACCAGCCCACCAAAGGGAUGAAUUAGUGAAAUACCAAAAUUACACUGAAGAUAUUAACAGUCAAGGAUGUCAAAAUAAAUUUAGUUCAGUUCCAUCUAAAGUGGGUCGGACCAGUACAAUACUAUCAUAUUAAAGUAUAAAUAAUGAAAACCACAUAUUUUUCUCUUUGUUUUAGUGUAAAAAAAAGUAAAAUUACACAAAAAUGUUAACAUUUACAGACUAGCGUUUACAAAAAAUGUGAAAAACCUGAACAAAUAUGAACAACCUGAAAUGUCUUAAGAGAUUUAAGAGUAAUUGUACCAAUAUUCUGUCUGUUAUUAAAUGUUUUGUGCAUUUGUAGAUCCACUGUGAUCUGUACAUUGUAAUGAACAUAUAAAAAUGAGAAGCUGAAGCCAAACAAUGGCAUAAAUUGUUAAAAUUGCACUUUUUUUCUUAACAAAUUUAAUUUUGGCCAUGGUUUGUUCAUGUUUUUCCAUAUUUUUAAAAAGAUAGUUUGAAGAUGUAGAAAUUUUGAUAAUAUAAUCUUACUUUUUUCACUCUAAAAUAUAGAAAUUAGACACAAAUUUUGGAAUUGAUAUUAUUUAUGUAUUAUUAUGUUAUUAUUUUAAUGAUCCGGCCCACUUCAGGUCAUAUUGGGCUUUAUGUGGCCCCUGAACUAACAUGAGUGUGACACCCCUACUCUACAGUAUUAAAGCUUCUCAGCUGGUGGCUCACGGCUCUAAAGUCAAACCAGCUUAAAUGUUUCAGGAUGUCACUUGUAUUUGACAGAUGGACAGGAUGCUGGCGGUUGCUAUGGAAACUCCAGCAUUCGUCCAAGUCUGGACCAACUGACCUGCUGACAUGUCGUCUGAUAAACCUGUCAGGGUUCAUGUUUGUCUCUGUACAUAUUUGAGGUAUUUUUGAGGACUUCUUGUAUGAUUUUGUUUUAUCGCAGCCUUACUGUCGUAUUGUUUUAGUGUGAAGAAGACUGAAUCUGAGAUGAAGACAGGUAUCUGAGUUUUGGAUGUAUACAUUUACAACAUGUGUCAGUGAUUAAAUUCCCUUGAAUACUUUUACAUCUUUAAUGUUCCAUGUAUCCAUAUAUGAUCCUUUUACUGCAUAUGUUCAUUAUUCUAUAGAAGUGUCUCUGUCCUCAGUCCUGUUGGACUACACUGUAAAAAAUGACUGUGGAAUUAAGACCAAAAAGUUGUAAAAUUGCAACAUAAAAAAACUGUAAAGGACAAUACAAAGCAAAGUUGUUUAUUUGAAAAGAUUUUUGUGUUAACGAUUAAAUCAAAUAUAGCUGUAGUUUUUACAGGAAGAGUAUGUGAACAAAACCAG